UGCCAGACUCCUACGGGAGGCAGCAGUGGGGAAUAUUGGGCAAUGGACGCAAGUCUGACCCAGCAACGCCGCGUGAAGGAAGAAGGCUUUCGGGUUGUAAACUUCUUUUAAGGGGGAAGAGCAGAAGACGGUACCCCUUGAAUAAGCCACGGCUAACUACGUGCCAGCAGCCGCGGUAAUACGUAGGUGGCAAGCGUUGUCCGGAUUUACUGGGUGUAAAGGGCGUGCAGCCGGAGAGACAAGUCAGAUGUGAAAUCCACGGGCUCAACCCGUGAACUGCAUUUGAAACUGUUUCCCUUGAGUGUCGGAGAGGUAAUCGGAAUUCCUUGUGUAGCGGUAAAAUGCGUAGAUAUAUGGAAGAACACCAGUGGCGAAGGCGGCCGCCUGGCCUGUUGCUGACGCUGAGGCACGAAAGCGUGGGGAGCAAAUAGGAUUAGAUACCCUGGUAAAU
rnacentral:rRNA from 1 species